rnacentral:misc_RNA from 1 species
UCCCGGUUGCUCCGGGCAGUCCCGUGUGAGAAAUCCAACACACGGCGAGGGUUGCGCUCGUUGCGGGACUUAACCCAACACCUCACGGCACGAGCUGACGACAGCUAUGCAGCACCUGUGUCCACGUCCCGUAAGGGAAGGUAUCCAUCUCUGGAUACCGUCGUGGCAUGUCAAACGCUGGUAAGGUUCUGCGCGUUGCUUCGAAUUAAACCACAUGCUCCACCGCUUGUGCAGGCCCCCGUCAAUUCCUUUGAGUUUUAACCCUGCGGCCGUACUCCCCAGGCGGAGAACUUAUCGCGUUAGCUGCGCCACUAAGGGUUUCAAAUACCCCCAACGGCUAGUUCUCAUCGUUUAGGGCGUGGACUAC